rnacentral:lncRNA from 1 species
UUAAAAACUUUAUUAUAAAUAACCCAUUAUAAUAAUGAGAUAAUAGGCCAAAUACAUAAUUAAUGUGGAAAUUACAUCAGAACUUAAUCCUUUCGCCACCAACUUCCCUCUAUUAAAGACGUCAAAAUAGGGGGUUCUAAACAUGGCCCAACCCAUUAGCCCUUGAAAUGGGGGUACGGUGUUUACAUCCUUUUAUUGCUCUUUACUUAUUUUGGUCUACUUUUUAUUGCUCUCUUGAAACCCAGUGUUUGUAUUCUCCAAUCUACCGAGCAAUCGCAUAAUCGCAUGUGAUACGCUUAUGCAUUUCAAUGAAAAAAUCCAUUGGCAGGAGAAAAAAGAAAAAAGAAUCAAAAUAUUCCACCAAAUCUAUAUACUUUCUUCACUACAGAAAAUCGUAUAUUUAAAUUAAAAUUUUCCAUCAGUUGAAAGUUUUCAGUAUUUUGUUGAUGGUCAACAUUUUGUUUGGUAGACUGGCCCAUAGGCUAACUCUAGCAUGUACCGAUGAGCUGGGCUAAACUUCAGUGGCUCAUUUAACACCACCAACACACUCAAUCACCUCACAUGAACUGAAAUGAAAUAUUAAAAAAUUAAAAUAAAAAAUAUGAUAGAAAUAUAGAAUGAAAGGAGUAAUUUAAUUUAUAGUUUACACCUACUCUACAAAUUAGGCAUGGAGGAUGAAUUGAAAACAUUGGCCCCAUCUUUGUAAGUAUGAGUAUGGUAAUAUCUAGAAGCACUAUGAUGAGUAGCAGAAAAGUUUAUAGUCUUGGGAGAAAUGGAAUUCUUUCUUCUCUUCUGUCGGCAACAAUAGCAUUCGUUUAAUUACAGCUAUUAUUAUGGUGCUGAUAGAAAAUGAAUUGGAUGGUCGAAGCUUUUGUAAAUUUGUUUAUAAAAAUAGAAAGGCUAUCUGGCACCCGUCACAUUAUAAAAUCGUCAUUCUUAUGCGAUUUAGCUAAUUAAAUUAAAGGGUAAAGUAUAUUUUUUGUCCCUGAAGUUUGACAAAAAUUUCAAAAAUACUUCUAAGUUUUAUUUUGUUUCAAUUUUGUCUCAAAAGUUUUCGAUUUGCAUCAAAUAUACCCCUGACGGCUAAUUUUUCAAAAAAAUUAAGAUCAAUUCAACAACAAUUUCAUAAGAAUAACCCUCAACACAAGCAAAUUAAGCAUAAACUUUAUGUAUUAUUGUUAGAUUGGUCUUAAAUUUUUUGAAAAUUUAGCCAUCGAAGGUAUAUUUGAUGCAAAUCGAAAAUUUUUAGGACAAAAUUGAAACAAAAUAAAACUUAGGGGUAUUUUUAAAACUUUUAUCAAACUUCAGGGACAAAAAAUAUACUUUACCCUAAAUUAAAUUAAUUUGUAAAAGGGAGGAUUCGCUAAUUUCUUUUAUAUGGAUGAAAAUAAUGUAUUAUGCAUUGUUAUUAAAAGAGAGAAGAUAAAUAUAAAAUCAGAAAAUCCAAUUUUAUUAGUUAAGUUUUUUUGGAACACCACCUAAAUUAGUAGAUUCGAUUUUUUUUUAAUUAAUCAAUAUAAUUUGGGGGGUACAAUGUCAAGUGCAUCAUCAUCUUGUCAUACACAUACACCUAGACAAUAUUAAAAAUAAUAAGAGGAUUCACAAAGUACACUUUGUGAUAAAGCUUUUAUUUUUCCAUAUAUGGUAGCUAACAAACUUUUCAUUAUUUAUUUCAAUAUUAAGUCCGAAGAUUCUUACUCUCGGACAUGUAUAUUAAUUCGACAAAUUAUUUUAAUUUUAAUAUAAAAAUAAUAUUUUUUUCAAUUAACAUUUAUUUAAUUAACUUGGUCAUCAAAUAAAAAUCAAAAACAAAAUACAUGCCUAAAAAUGUUUUGUUAUUAGAGUUGUCGUCUGCUCUGCUAUGUUAGAAUUAGGAAAAAUUUUAAUUAUAAAUUUUCUUUAUUUUUGUGAAUGUCUUUGGUUGAACAAUGACAGUAUCUACUAUCUUUCAGAGGCGCGAUACGCGUACAAUUGAAGAAGAAGAGAAUGAGGUAUUGAAAUUUGAGGAUGAGGAUAUUCAGGAGAGUAUUGAGAAGUGUAAUAGGAGUUUGAUUGGAAGGUCAUUGGCGGACCAAAAAUUUAGUUCUGAAACGUUGGAAGCAGCACUAUAUGCAAUAUGGAGGCAAUCAGAGGGCUUUCAGGUGAUGGACCAUGGGGUAAAUUUAUUCCAAUUCUUUUUUAGCAGCGAAGUGGAUAUGUUUUGGAUGAAAAAAAGAGGACCGUGGUUGUUUAAGAACUAUAUUUUGCAUCUCAAAUGUUGGAGAGAAGAUAAUCCGAUUGAUGAGAAAGAAUUUUCUUGCGUUCCAAUAUGGAUCCAACUAUGGGGUUUACCGAAAAAAUAUAAAAGUAAAGAACUCGGCCGGAGGAUUGAAAGAUCGCUAGGGCGAGUUUUGGAUGCGGAUCUGUUUGUGAUGAGGGGAAAGGAAGAUCGUAUAAUUAAGGUUCUAGUGUAGCUUGAUGUUACCAAACUUUUGCGUAGAAUUAUGAAGAUUUCAGGCAAUAAUAACCAGAUUCUGGAAGUGCAACUCAAAUACGAAAAAAUUGACAAUUUUUGUCACUAUUAUAGAGAAAUUAGAGCUUGCAAUGGUUAUUUAUAAGAUUCCGUGGAAGAAAAACUAAAAGAGGAAUGAUGGGGGAUGUGGAUCAGAACGAAUCAAUUUGGUCGAAGUGUUGAAGAGGACAAGGAGAAUAACAACACAAAUCAUAAUUUCAGCACCGACACACAAGAUCCUAGAUACAAAAAACUAACUCUGGUAUGCCUCAUUCGAGGUUUUUCCAAUCUCUCAGUAAAUAAUAGGAGCUCGCAAGCUAGGCCAGAAGAAAAAGAAGUUCAAAGUAUUAAUAAGGCACUAAGUGACUUCGGAAAAACAAAAUCUAAAGCUAGAGGAGUUUUGGAAAAAAUAUGAAAGGGAAAAAAGGAAGGAACAAAUCAAUCCUAUCAUAAUAAAUUAGUUGACACCUUUUUAAUUGGGGUGUGUGAGGGGACAAAGAGAGUUUUGGAGAGGAAGAAGCUGAAUUUAAAGAAAUUGGCUAGAAGAGAGCAGAACCACAAAUCUGUGACGGGUGCUAAAAGAAUUAUAACAGAGGUGAAAGAAAAUUCAGCAACCAAAAAGUGGUAUUUGAAGGACGGUGAGACAGUUACAAUGGGAGAGGGUGCCACCUAAAAUUGGACAUCCAAGGAGGUAUGAAGAUGUUGUUGUGGAACUGUCAGAGUUUAGAAAAAUUCCUGACGGUUCACAACAUACAAGGGAUUAAUAAAUCUCAUUCUCCCGAGGUGUUGUUCUUGUGCGAAAGUAAAAACAGUACCUUGAAUGUGGAGAGAGUUCUAAAGAGAGUCAGAUUUAAUUCAGUUUGGAGGUUUAGCAUUAGCAUGGAAGGAGGGAGUAAGUAUUCAGGUCUUAAACCGGGAGAAUUUUUUGAUUCACUUUGAACUAGAGAUUCAGCGAAGUAACUUGAGGUGGGAGGUUUUGGCAGUCUAUUUGCACACGGAUAAAACUAUUAGGGAGGAACAAUACUCAAAGUUAUUACAAUUGAUUGAGAAUGGUGGAAACCAGAUUAUACUUAUGGGAGACUUUAACGCUAUUAAAGCUCAUCAUGAGAAGGAAUUGGACAGACCUAAAUUGGCAUCAUCUAUAAGAAAUUUUAGUGACUUUAUUAAUGCGAGAGGGUUGGUGGAUUUGGGUUACGAAGGUGAUAAGUUCACAUGGUCAAAUAGGUAAUUUGGUGGCAAUUUUAUCAAAAAAAGGUUGGAUAGAGUGCUGGUGUCAAUGCGAUGGAGGGCAGAAUUUUCAAAUGGCUAUGUUAAGCACCUAGAUGACAUGGGUUCGGAUCACAAGCCACUCCUUAUUGAUUCCGAUAGGGAGGUGAGGAGAACGAAGAGGAGAUUCCGAUUUCAAGAGAGAUGGUGUGAGAAUAAAGAGGUGGUGGAAUUAAUUAAGCAUACUUGGGCGCUAGACAUGAGAGGUUCACCUAUGUUUAGACUGGCUGGGAAGCUCAAGGCAACUAGACAUUGCAUAGUGGAGUGAUAGCAAAAUUCUUCUUCUAACUCCAAAAAGAAAAUUCAGGAAAUUAAGAAAAAAAUAAUAGGGGAGGCAGUUAAGGACAAUCCAGCUAAUGGAGCAGCUAUCAAGGUAUGGGAGACUGAAUUAAAAGAUUCACUUGAGUUAGAAGAACGAUAUUGGAAGGAAAAAUCUCGAGUCCAGUGGCUGAAAUGGGGAGAUCGCAAUACAAAAUUUUUUCUAUCCAAAUUUUACAUUAGGAGUAGAAGAAAUAAGGUGCAAGAGUUAGAAGAUGCAUAAGAGAAUGUAGCCACCAACGCUGAAGGCAUUGCAUCAACAGCCCAACGAUACUUUGAAGAGUUCUUUACAUCAAGUAAUCCAAGAGACCCAUCAACUGAAAUUGAGGGUAUCCCAACAAAAAUCAAUGUUGCCACCAACCGUGCACUAAUUAGACUGAUCAUAGAAAAAAAGUGAAAGCUGCUAUUUUUUCUAUAAAUGCUUUUUCGGCCUCGGGAGAAGAUGGACUCACUGUUAAAUUCUUUCAAUUUUUCUGAAAAACGAUUAAAGGAGAUAUUUUUCAGGCGGCUAGAAGUUUUUUCUCGGGAGGUAAAAUCCUAAAAUCUUUUAAUCACACUCAUAUUUUCCUUAUUCCGAAGGAUCCGAAUGCAAAAUCCAUGAAACAGAUCAGACCUAUAUGCUUGAGUAGUGUUUUUUAUAAAGUCUUAUCAAAGAUUGUAGUGCACAGGCUUCAAUUUGUGAUGAAUAGACUCAUAAAUGACAUACAGAGUGCUUUUAUUAAGGGGCGGUUGAUUAGUGAUAACGUGUUAAUUGCUUAUGAAUUUAUGCAUUUUUAAAAAAUAAGAGAUACAAUGAUUAUGAAUUAGCUCUAAAACUAAACAUGAGUAAGGCAUAUGACAGGGUGGUGUGGAGUUUCGUUUAGGAGGUUAUGAGGAAGUUGGGUUUUUACAGGAGAUGGAUGGAAUAGAUUCAGGAACUGGUGAUGACGGUUUCAUACUCUGUUACUGUGGAUAGUCAGCCUCAUGGUUUUUUUUAAGCCAUGUAGAGGGUUGCGUCAAGGCGACCCUCUUUUCCCUAUCUAUUUUUAUUUUGCGCAGAGGAAUUAUCCCAUCUGCUCCAUAAAGGAGAAUAGAGACUGGAGAUUACAGGAUUGAGACUUAAUCAAAGGUGUCUUAAAGUCAGCCAUACAUUUUUCGCAUAUGACUCAAUUUUAGCAAAGCUACAGAGGACGAGUGUCAAAAUCUGCUUCGGAUCCUACAUGUUUAUGAAGAUAUUAGCGAUCAAGCAAUGAAUUUGGAUAAAUCUUCAGUGUUUUUCAGCAGAAAUAUCCUUGUGGGUAUUCGUGAUUAUCUAUCUCACAUCUUACAUGUCUCUCACAUAGAAAACCAGAACAAGUAUAUUGGGCUACUAGCGGUUAUUCAGAGAUCUAAGAGAACUACAUUUUUGUAUAUCAAAGAUAAAGUGACACAUAAACUGCAGCACUGGAAGAGGGCUUUGUUAUCCUCAAGCAGCUGAGAAGUACUAAUAAAGAUGGUUGCAAUGGCAGUUCCAAUCUAUACUCUGAGUUGUUUUAAACUACCAAAGACGCUGGUUGAUAAAAUUCAAAAGCUCAUGCUCCAAUUUUGGUGGGGACAGCGAGACUCGGAAAGAAGGAUGCACUGGAUAGGAUGGAAAAUUUCUUAUAGACCUAAAUCUCAAGGAUGCACUACCAGACAGAACAUGGAGCCAGACACUAAUUCGUGAGGCAUUCAGUCCAACAAUUGCAAAUGCUAUUCUAAAUUCAACAAUUCACCAGGAGGAGGAUAGAAUUACCUGGAUAAAGAAAAAAUUUGGGACAUAUAUAGUAACUUCUGGUUAUGGUGUGGUCUUUCAAUUUUUUCACCCUCCAACAUAUUUUCUUCCAGAACACUGCAGAAAAAAAGAAUUAUCGACAGUCAUUUAGAAUCUCAGAUGUCAACCGAAGAUUAAAAACUUUAUGUGAAAGGUGAUGCAUGAGGGUUUAUCUGUGAAACAAAAAUUGGGACAAAGAAUUUAAAUAAUGGUACCGAUUUAUCCAAGAUGCCACAACGAAAAAAAUCAAUCUUCCAUUGUUUUUGGGCUUGUCCCGACGCAGUUGAAACUUGGCAUGUAUGCAACCUUCCUUUUCCAUCUCACACGGAUCUUUCAUGGUAGUGGUGACUGAAAUUACUUGAAUGGUUCAGUGAUGCUAACAAGAAGAAGAAAAGGAACUCAGCAGCUAUUAUAACUUAGUUGAAUUGAAAAGUUAGGAAUGCAUUUGUUUUUGAAGGGAAACGGAAGUCCCCUCCUAAUUGCAAAAGAAGCUCAGGGGGUAUUUCUUGAACCUCAAGACUUUUAC